UUAAAAAGUCAAAAACCAUUUUCUUAUAAAUAAUUUAUCUUCUCUUUGAUAAAUACGAAAAGGGAUAAAACAUUUUCCUCUUUUUUUUUUGAAUAUAUUCGUAAUAUGUCUACGGUGUAACAUGAUAUUUUCAUUAAAUGAGAUCUAUUCAGUCACUUCUUUUAUCAUUAUUCUAAGCGUUGAACCUUGUAUUUUCCUACCCUAUAUUUUUGGGUAACUUUUAAUUGGUGUGUGGCAGAAUGUCUGAAAAAUGUCAAGUGAGAGAACCAUCAAAACCAUAAAGUAAAAAGCAAGUGGUUUGUUCCCAUCUUUCUUAUAGUCUUGGUGGACAGAAUUUACCUGAUAUUUAUUGUUGAUUAGGGGUGAUAUGUAUCAUUAGAAUUAAUCGAGCUUCAUAUAAGUUGGUUCGAACAUCAUGAUUGUGAAGAAAAAAAGUAACAAGCAUAAAGUAACAUGAGUUUAAGGGCAAGAACAAAAAGUAGAUGAAAUCUCUCAUUGAGAAUUCUUGAUCGUGUGACUGGGUAAGUCACGGAUUCAAGCUGUAAAAAUAGCCUUUUGUAGAAAUAUAGAGUAAGAUUGCAUACAAUAAUCUUUGUGAUUCAUCUCAUCUCUGAACUACACACAUAGAGGGAGCUUUAUUGCACUAAACUAUCCUUUUUUACAACUUAGAAAACAAAACCAUCCCAAUAAGAGGCACUUUAAGUUUGGACUCAUUGAUGUGAAAUUGGUGAUUACUAGAACAACAAAAAUAGACUUAUCCAAAAUACUUUCAUCCUUUUGACAAGCAGCAUUGUGCACUAACUUACAUGCCCAAUGUUUUUGGUAUCUGAGUCUUGUAAUUAGCAACAAAUGCAGAGGCAGAUUCAACAUUUGAACUUGAUGAGUUGAAGUUUGAAAUUCUACAAUCCAUUUAAUUUCCAUGGUUAGAAAUCUAUUUUUGCACUAAUUUUGUGAAUGUUUUGAUGCAUAUACAGAACUUGAGGUUCGGAUGACCCAUGACUCGUAUGCUAAAGUGAUACCAUGUCCAUCAUGACCAGUGACAGAGUUAAGAAAUUCCAACAACUUGAUUGGACCUAUACAACCUAAAGAAAUUUGUCACUGUUAGAACAUGCACAAUGAAAGCAAUCAAUAAGGAUCAAUAACUUACUUAGAAUCUAGAUAACAUAAACUAAAACGAAUUCAAAAAAUGCUUACCUCUUGAAGUUUUCACAAAAUUCAUUUUCUGCAAUAGAAUUCAGGUCAGUAGCCUUCUACUACUUCCUAAUUAACCUUAUAAUCAACACUUGUAUGGGCAAGUAACUUUUAUUUUCUGAAAAAAGAUAAGUUUCUUUCUGAAAAUCAUCCGCUAUUUAUCCCAAUCUUUCAUUGAAGAAGGGAAGGGAAGAGGCAAACGUUUCAGCCUUUAAGAUGACUUAAUUGCACCACAAUGAACAAAACAUUUUUUAGCCUUAACAACCCUGUUAAGAGCAAAAACAUUUUCGACCUUUUAAGACCAUGUUUAUUGACCAUUAAGAUGACUUAAUGGUACCAAACGUUUUUCAUUAUUUACAAUCAGAAGUCUUAUUUUUUUUUAUAAAAGACUAAUAAAUAAUAUUACUUCUUCCAGUAGGCUCUUUUUCUUGUUUAAAACUGAUUAGUUAAUCAGGUAUAGUAAGGACGCAGAUUUAUUAAGUGAGACUUUCAAUCAUGAUAUUAAUUCGGUAAUGAAUGAAUUAUCAUAUCAUAAUAAAUUAUAAAUUAUUCCACUAAAAAUAUGUAAUUGCACUCCUAGAUUUAAUUUUGAAAUCUAUCAUUACAUCUUAUUUAACUCCCCAUGUUAGAGUUACCGACACAAAUCAAUUAAAUCAAAUUUUCUAAAAAUUUAAUUCAUUGAUUAAUUUAAUCUUUUUAUUAAUAUGCACAACUUAUUUCACAUGACGGAUAUAAAAUCCACCUACAGGAUUUCACGUGGAAACUUAUAACCAACUAUAAAGGGGUAUCUUCUAUCUCAAGACCGAGACAUGGUUCUCUUAACUAAAUAUUAUUUCACUAAGUGAUUUGUCAUCAUUCAAUCUAUUAGGAAUAUAUUGACCCAUAAAAGAGUCUUACCUUUAAUAUAUUAAAAAAAUAAAUCAAAUCAUAUAGAUUAUAAUAACUAGAUCAAGAUUAAGAGUUUAAGUACAUGUAAUGGACUAGAGAAAUUGUUUAUUAAUAUUCAGAACAUAAACAAAUAUCUCUAGUUGGCUCGUUCAGUACAUACGAAACGUACUAACAUAAGAAGUUGGAGUAUUACCACUCCCAUAUUUAAGAUCAAAUUAUAUUUAAUCUUGUACUACAAUCAUCGAAAUAUUUGUCCUACCUCAUCUUUGAUUGUGAACAUUAAUGUAUAACUUACAAGAACCAACAAUUUUAAUCUCUCACGCAUGAGUUAAAACACUCCAUACAUAAAAUUGUCUACUAUAUAAGUAAAGGACACACAUGUUAACACAAUAAUCCACCUAAAUAAAAUUUUUAGUAAUUUAAGUAAAUAAAAUAAAUUAUCUUUAUAUGGGAUGAGAAUAUAAUAGCAUAACAUAAGCCACAUGGUUCAUAGUAUAUCCUAAACAAUCACUACACUAAAAUAUUUCUUAAUGUCAAACAACAAUUUUAUGUAAGUAUCAAAAAGUUUGCUAUACACAAUAGGAUAAGAAAUCUUUAUUUACUUCUUUGGACCAUGAUAAGUUCUGUAAUCUAGCAGUGCAAAAAUAUUUACCAAUCAACUUACUUAUAAGAUAAUUUACGGGUAGUGAGUUUCUACUAUACUAUCAAUAUAUAAAACUUGAAUCCUGUAAGAUUAUAUAUUGAUUUAAGUUAUGUGUAUGAAUUGUGUAGAUAAUAUUUGUGCAAUCGAACUACUUAAAAAAUAAUUGCAGAUUGCUUUUAGGAAAAAUUAACUAAAUAAACUUAUUAGAUUGUUCAUUGCGAGUUAUAACAACUCUUUUUAGUUUUCAAGUUAUAGAAACUUUCAUUAAAAAAAAUAUGUUUUUCGUUUUUUAAAAUAAGCAUAUCAAAAUCAUUACAGAAAAGGAAAAUAUAGAUUUAAUAUAACUAAACUACAUAUUCCUUCCUUAAAUAUAGUUAAAACUUAUAAUUGAUAUCAAUCACACCCAUCAAUUUCUCUCUAAUCAUUUUUAUUUCUCUUUUUGUUAAAGAGUCCGUUUCUGUUUCCAUGCAUCUUCAUACACAUUCUUUUCUUUUUCUAAAAGAUUAUAUUGUUUCAGUAAACAACUUUCAUAAGUUAUUGUUGUAUUAUGCAACUUCUGAAAAUUUUUAUUGAAAGAAAAGUUUUCAUACGUUAUUGUUGUUUUAUACAAAUAUUAAUUGUGAUAAUUUGCAUUCAAGCAUGAUACAUCAUGGAGGGAGAUGAGAUUCGUCAGGCUUAAGUCCAGCUUUUGAAGAAGUUGAAGAAGAACGUGUUGAAAUAAUUGGUGAUACAACAAAUACUUUAGAAUGUUACAAGCAAAUAUGGUGAUCUCAAAAGAUCCAGUAGAGCUAUUCUGAAAUUUCAAAUUCAUAACCCUACAAGUCACAAAUCAGGAUGCAGUAAAUGUUUAUGUCCACCCAUGAAUUUUUUAUCUAAUUUUUAAAUGUAAUAGGUUCAAACUAUUUUUAUUCAUGAAAGAUUUUGUUAAACUUUAUAAAAUAUGUUUUUUUCG